UUGAUUCAUUUGCAUGCCCUUCGUCUUGGUUGCUGUACACUGAUGAUCGUUGUGUACAUUUCUGUUCCUGAAUGCUACAUAAUGGAAGAGCCAGCUGUGAGGAAGUAUGGGAAUUGUAUGGGAGAUUUCAUAUUCCUCAAGGUUCCCAGUUGUGGAACAUCAUGGCAAUAGGACCUGAAAAAGCCAAUUCGCGGUGGCCAAAUCUGAUUACAAUGGAUCUUCAAAGAGUAGAAGUUGUGGGAACAGCACUGCAACAAGUUGUGACGUUUCCAGCAACACAAAAGCAACAGCCACGUCUUCCAAGUCAAAGAAUGUGAAGAUCUCAGGGUUAAUGGCUGACAUAUUAGAAGGUCCUAGCUUAAUCCGACAAAGUGGUUCUUGAGAGUGAAGUUGACAGAUACCUACUUGAUCCAAUGUGAGUGUCCCAAAGAUGCAUAAAGUUGGCAGCUGCUUGAUCCAAUGGAAGUUCAGGAGCUGCAUAGCUUGAUUUCACAUAUUUCAGUCAUUAAGUCCUUUACACUUUAGUUUGUUUUCUUAUAUUGAAUCUGUUUAACUGUUAGAGUGUUGGUGCUUUGAACUGUAGGAAAGAUGGCUUUAAUAACUUGAAUUGCCGCAAUUGCUUAUUGAGCUUGCUGCCUGCUUGACUUUAAUGGUUUGCGGAAUGUGAAAAUGGUUUUUAUCAUUUCAUUGCUUUGCCUUUGCCUUGUGUUGCUUUUAUUUGAUUGAGAAUGUGAGAAUUUGCAGCCUUGCUUUGCCUUCGUUUGAUCAUUCCGUGUUCAAAAUUUGCAUUUUGCAGGUGUGUAUGUAUUUGUGAACAGAAGCUAUCAAGAUUUUGGCCUUUUUCCUUCAUUUCAUUCCGUGUUCAAUCUUCACGCUUGAGCUUUGCUUUACAGACCCUUGAAUUUAAAAUCCAUCCUUGAUUGUUCCUCAAUUGCUCUUUAUAUUCAAUCCUUGUGCGAUAUUAUCUAUGUGCAUUAUUCUAGAAUUGGAAUUUGAAUGUGGUUUGGUUGAUUUUGUUCCCUUCCAUGGGGUUCGAUUCCCUACAGCUGUUUUUUGAUCCAAAACAUAAAUUUUAUUUGAUCAUGUAUGAUGCAUGUUGGUGUGUCGCCUGUGAUUUGUAUUAACUUUGGUACUGAAUGGAAAUGGAUGUCAGUUCCUGAUACCAGAUCCACAGUUUGUUGUUUUGGUUUGACAAUUUGUGAUGACUUCUUUUAGUGUUUUGCUGGCAUGCAUUUCUGCUAUCAUUUUUUUAUUUUUUUAUUUUUUUAUUUUAUAGGAUUUGGCUUGGCUAAUGGCUGCCAUUGUUUGGAGUUAGAUAUGAGUUAUUCGAGGUGGUUGCAUGCGCUGAAAGGUAAAGACUUAAUUAGUUUGUUCAUCAUCUUCAUUUGCUUUCUGCAUGUUAACUUUAUCGGAAGGGGUUUAAGUUCGAAGCUGACCUUUUUUCAGAAACAAGGACCGCUAAUGUGGGCGAGUAAUCUCGGGCUACUCUCAACCCAGAGAUCCUACCUUGAAGAAGCCAAUCAAACCUAUAAUUGGCACAGCCAUGUUGUCCUUCUUAUAUAACCCAACUCCUUCAAACCAAUGCUGAGGCCCUGUGGAAGUUUGAUGCCGUCCAUGCCUAGCACAACAUUAAUUUCUAUCAUUCCCUCAAAUAUUCCAGCUACUUUUUUCAGCCAGUAUGAUCAGUGGCUUGGAAGAUUUUGCUAAUAUGUAAUCACCAUUGUGAUCUGUAUAUACAUAUCGCUGGCUAGAGUAGCAGUUUCUUGGUUAAGAUAUCAGCUUUUACUCAAAGCUUUUUCUGAUAUAUUAUAUUUGUGGCAUGGGUUGAAACUUGAAACACCUGUGUUUAUGAUGUGUAUAGGUC
rnacentral:lncRNA from 1 species